rnacentral:rRNA from 1 species
UACGAAGGGUGCAAGCGUUAAUCGGAAUUACUGGGCGUAAAGCGUGCGCAGGCGGUGAUGUAAGACAGGUGUGAAAUCCCCGGGCUUAACCUGGGAACUGCAUUUGUGACUGCAUUGCUGGAGUGCGGCAGAGGGGGAUGGAAUUCCGCGUGUAGCAGUGAAAUGCGUAGAUAUGCGGAGGAACACCGAUGGCGAAGGCAAUCCCCUGGGCCUGCACUGACGCUCAUGCACGAAAGCGUGGGGAGCAAACAGG